rnacentral:rRNA from 1 species
UACGUAGGUGGCAAGCGUUGUCCGGAUUUACUGGGCGUAAAGCGCACGUAGUCGGCUUUGCAAGUCGGGUGUGAAAUCCCCGGGCUUAACCUGGGAAUGGCAUUUGGGACUGCAAGGCUGGAGUGUGGCAGAGGAGACUGGAAUUCCUGGUGUAGCAGUGAAAUGCGUAGAUAUCAGGAGGAAUACCGAUGGCGAAGGCAGGUCUCUGGGCUAACACUGACGCUCAUGCACGAAAGCGUGGGGAGCAAACAGG